GUUUGGCAGCACCCGAGUUACCAUGAAGGUUCUAAUAUUUUUGGCAAUCGUCGCCACUGCUCAUGGAUUGCUCGGUUCACGGAAACCCGGACUUCGUGUCAGAUUUGACC